GACGAACGCUGGCGGCGCGCUUAACACAUGCAAGUCGAGCGAUGAAAUUUCGACAGAUCCCUUCGGGGUGAAGAUGAAAUGGAUUAGCGGCGGACGGGUGAGUAACACGUGAGUAACCUGCCUUUGACAUUGGGAUAGCCUCGGGAAACUGGGAUUAAUACCAAAUGACACUAACUGAUCACAUGAUCAAUUAGUCAAAGAAAUUCGGUCAAAGAUGGACUCGCGGCUGAUUAGCUAGUUGGUGAGGAAACGGCCCACCAAGGCGACGAUCAGUAGCCGGCCUGAGAGGGUGAUCGGCCACAUUGGAACUGAGACACGGUCCAAACUCCUACGGGAGGCAGCAGUGGGGAAUAUUGCACAAUGGGGGAAACCCUGAUGCAGCGACGCCGCGUGAGCGAAGAAGGCCUUCGGGUCGUAAAGCUCUUUUAUGAGGGAAGAUAAUGACGGUACCUCAAGAAAAAGCCCCGGCUAACUACGUG
rnacentral:rRNA from 1 species